rnacentral:tRNA from 1 species
GCCCCAGUGGCCUAGAGGUAAGGCGUUCGAUUCGUAAUCGAAAGAUCGUUGGUUCAAAUCCAACCAGGGGCU